AUUGAACGCUGGCGGCAGGCCUAACACAUGCAAGUCGAACGAGCGGCGGACGGGUGAGUAAUGUCUGGGAAACUGCCUGAUGGAGGGGGAUAACUACUGGAAACGGUAGCUAAUACCGCAUACCAUCAGAUGUUCCCCUAUGGGAUUAGCUUGUUGGUGGGGUAACGGCUCACCAAGGCGACGAUCCCUAGCUGGUCUGAGAGGAUGAUCAGGCACACUGGGACUGAGACACGGUCCAUACUCCUACGGGAGGCAGCAGUGGGGAAUAUUGCACAAUGGGCGCAAGCCUGAUGCAGCCAUGCCGCGUGUAUGAAGAAGGCCUGAGGGUUGUAAAGUACUUUCAGGGGGGAGGCGUUACCCGCAGAAGAAGCACCGGCUAACUCCGUGCCAGCAGCCGCGGUAAUAC
rnacentral:rRNA from 1 species